CUCCCAUGCUUGGCAGAGUGGCCUAAUGUAGUAGGUGUCCUGUAGGUUACAGUGGCACAACCUCUCUUAUCACCAAAGCAGCGCAUUUGAGGUAUAUCUUUUGUCUGGGCG